UACGUAGGGUGCAAGCGUUGUCCGGAAUUAUUGGGCGUAAAGAGCUUGUAGGCGGUUUGUCGCGUCUGCUGUGAAAUUUCGGGGCUCAACCCCGAACUUGCAGUGGGUACGGGCAGACUAGAGUGCGGUAGGGGAGACUGGAAUUCCUGGUGUAGCGGUGAAAUGCGCAGAUAUCAGGAGGAACACCGGUGGCGAAGGCGGGUCUCUGGCUCGACCCUGACGCUGAGAGGCGAAAGCGUGGGGAGCGAACGGG
rnacentral:rRNA from 1 species